CUGACAAGGAGAUACCUGAGAAGGCAGCAGCAGACAAAGUUUCUAGUCCCAAUGCUGACGAAGAGAUACCUGAGAAAGCAGCAGCAGACAAGAUUUCUAGUCCUCAUGCUGUCGAGAAGAUACCUGAGAAGGCAACAGACAAUGUUUCUAGUCCUCAUGCUGACUUGGAGGUGCCAGAGGAGGCUGCAGACAAAGUGUCUAGUCCUCAUGCUGACGAUGAGGUGAUACCUGAGGAGGCAGCAGGCAAAGUGUCUAGUCCUCAUGCUGAUGAUGAGGUGAUACCUGAGGAGGCAGCAGAGAAAGUUUCUAGUCCCAAUGCUGAUGAGGUGAUACCCGAGAAGGCAGCAAAUGAAGUUUCCAGUGUCCCUGCUGAUGAGGCGAUGAUACCUGAGAAGGCAGCAGAGAAAGUUUCUAGUCCUAAUGCUGAUGAGGCGAUACCUGAGGAGGCAGCAGACAAAGUUUCUAGUCCCCAUGCUGAUGAGGCGAUACCUGAGAAGGCAGCAGAUGAAGUUUCACUUGCCCCUGCCGACGCGGAGACACUUUUGAAGGUAAAAGAGGAAGUUUCUAGUCCCCUUGCUGACG
rnacentral:lncRNA from 1 species